GCCUUUGUGUUAUAGUUCAACAUAUAACCACUAAACCUUUUUCAACUAAAGAAUGUGGAGAUUCAUUUUGGUGAUGUGUCUUCUAGCUCUGGUCGAAAGGGGAACCUCGGGGAAAUUGCCGAUAUGGGAAAAGGAGUUAGGAAGAUUGCAGGGUUUACAUAACCAGCUUCAGCGAGGUCCGGUUCCUCCAUCAGAACCGUCACUAUGCCACAAUAGACUAAACCAUCUUUCUCAUCCAGAGGUUUACUCUUCCCAAACUUACGUUCUUUGCCCAUGAUCAUGCUUAUUCCGUCGUUGACAAUGAUCAAAUCUCAUUUGUUAUUUUCUUUAUCUCUGCUCAAACAUAAUUCAUAGUUGUAUCUGUGACAUUUUGAUCCGACUACUCCACCAUCUUGAGUCAUACUAUACGAGAUAUCUAAUCAAUUUUGACUUUUGAUCCGACUACUCAAACCUUGUCUAUAAUAACG
rnacentral:sRNA from 1 species